rnacentral:rRNA from 1 species
GGAGGAAAAGAACUAACAAGGAUUCCCCUAGUAACUGCGAGUGAAGCGGGAAGAGCUCAAAUUUAAAAUCUGGCGGUCUUUGGCUGUCCGAGUUGUAAUCUAGAGAAGUGUUACCCGCGCUGGACCGUGUACAAGUCUCCUGGGAUGGAGCGUCAUAGAGGGUGAGAAUCCCGUCUCUGACACGGAUUACCAGGGCUUUGUGGUAUGCUCUCAAAGAGUCGAGUUGUUUGGGAAUGCAGCUCAAAAUGGGUGGUAAAUUCCAUCUAAAGCUAAAUAUUGGCGAGAGACCGAUAGCGAACAAGUACCGUGAGGGAAAGAUGAAAAGAACUUUGGAAAGAGAGUUAAACAGUACGUGAAAUUGCUGAAAGGGAAACGCUUGAAGUCAGUCGCGUUAGCUGGGGAUCAGCCUUGCUUUUGCUGGGUGUAUUUCCUGGUUGAUGGGUCAGCAUCAAUUUUGACCGCUGGAAAAAGGCUUGAGGAAUGUGGCACCUCCGUGGUGUGUUAUAGCUUCUUGUCACAUACAGUGGUUGGGAUUGAGGAACUCAGCACGCCGCAAGGCCGGGUUUYGACCACGUUCGUGCUUAGGAUGCUGACAAAAUGGCUUUA